UAAUACGGAGGGGGCAAGCGUUAUUCGGAAUUAUUGGGCGUAAAGGGCGCGUAGGCGGCCUGACAAGUCAAAGGUGAAAUCCCUCGGCCUAACCGAGGAACUGCCUUUGAAACUGUCUGGCUUGAGGCCGGGAGAGGGUAGUGGAAUUCCCAGUGUAGCGGUGAAAUGCGUAGAUAUUGGGAGGAACACCAGUGGCGAAGGCGACUACCUGGACCGGUUCUGACGCUGAGGCGCGAAAGCGUGGGGAGCAAACAGGAUUAGAUACCCUGGUAGUCCACGCCGUAAACGAUGGGUACUCGGUGCAGCGGGUAUUGACCCCUGCUGUGCCUUAGCUAACGCGUUAAGUACCCCGCCUGGGGAGUAUGGUCGCAAGGCUG
rnacentral:rRNA from 1 species